rnacentral:rRNA from 1 species
GACAGAGGGUGCAAACGUUGCUCGGAAUUACUGGGCGUAAAGCGCGUGUAGGCGGACCAGCAAGUCGGACGUGAAAUCCCUGAGCUCAACUCAGGAACUGCAUCCGAAACUGCUGGUCUGGAGUGGUGGAGAGGGAAGCAGAAUUCCUGGUGUAGAGGUGAAAUUCGUAGAUAUCAGGAGGAACACCGGUGGCGAAGGCGGCUCACUGGACCGGAACUGACGCUGAGGCGCGAAAGCGUGGGGAGCAAACGGG